rnacentral:lncRNA from 1 species
UUCAGGUUUGGGACGUAUAAGAGGGACUUAUUGGCCGUCAUUGUUCAUUUUAGCCUUCUGAGAGAAACCCUAAAUCGAUUGUGUGCAUCUGGAGCAAGGUUAAAGGCCAUUGUUGAUUUUGGAGGAGUUGUUGUGCAAGGAAGAGGAAGGCUUGGCUAAGGGAACAACAAGGGAGCCACGUUCUGAGGAUUGGGGACACAGAGAGUACAUCAUCCAGGUAAGAAUUCGAGUAUACUCUGCUAUGUUGAUGUGUUUUAUGGAUUUAGGGUUUAUGGAACCCUUUUGUGACUAGAUUGAAGGUUACCCUAGUCCCCCAAACGAUUGUAACCCUGUAUUGGGACCUUUGGAGGUCCAGAAUGUCCCAUGCCUGUGCAUUCCGGGAAUUGAUGAAGGUUUUGGAUUGGAAUCCUUAUGCCUUAGGUCAAUAUGUAAAUUAUAAGUCUUGGGGUGUAUCAUGAGCACCGAAAUGAGGACCUUACGUGAUGGAUCAGUCUAGGAAGGCCAGACUUAUGAAUGGUCGGAGCAGUUCUGACCUUAGGAAGCAGUUUGAGCGGUUGCAUGGCAUGGACUCGCCGAGUCCGAUGAACAGACUCGGCGAGUAGCUUGAAGAAUAACUGGGACUCGUCGAGUUGUUCUUCAGACUCGGCGAGUUGAGUCGGGGUGGCCCCGCGAUUCUUCCAGGAGAAACUCGUCGAGUAAAAAGGGGAUACUCGACGUGUAGGAAGGGAAUCUUAAGGGAUCGGUGAGUUAAGGGCGAGUGGACUCAGAGUGGUUGAACUCGACGAGUCUUGGGGUGACUCGGCGAGUUAGGUCGCGGGUUGAGUGAAGUUCUGAGCAUGGGGACUCGGCGAGUCUUAGGGUUGACUCGGCGAGUAGGGUCAGUCAGGGGUUGACUUUGACCUUGUCUUUGACCAAGGAUUGACCAGUGGUUCCAGGGGUAUUUUGGUAAUUGUUGUUUGUUGUUUGAGUUCAGUGCAUUGGUGGCUGUCCAGAGGUGGAGAUCGUAUCAGUGAUCGGAGCAGCUUGAGCUAUCUGUUCAGUCGGCAGUCUCGAGGUGAGUUAUCCUCACUAUAUCGCUAGGGUUUAUGGCACCAAGGCCGACCCUUUUUACCGGAUGGAAAUCCGGGUAGUUGUCAUUAUAUGUUACAGGCCGGAAGGCAUUACUAUGUGGACCGGAAGGUCAUGGCCUGGAAAGGCGUAUGUAUGCAUUUAGUAUGUUGACUGAUUCAUAGGGUAAUGUUAUGAUAGUGACCGGCUAGACCGGUAUCUUGUUAGAGUAAUGCUAUGAUAUGUGAUCUGUUGAUCGAUUGUUGUCUAUGAACUGCUAUAUGAUUAUUUGUUAUGUUAUAUAUGCAUUUUAUGCUUAUGGGCCGGAAGGCAAUAUGUUAUGGGCCGGAAGGCGAUAUGUUAUGGGCCGGAAGGCGUAUAUGUGGUUGGUAUUCUGGGGGUAUCUCACUAAGCUUUCGGGCUUACAGUUGUGGUUUUAUGUUUCAGGUUCUCAAGAGUCUGUGGCAAGGCAAAGGCGUGAUCGUACCGUUCCUCGCGUUGGUGUUUUAUGAUAUGAACCUGGGAAAUUACUCUGUUUAAUAAUGUAUUGAAAACCUUUUUGUAACAAUGUUAAUAAAAUGGGUGAUUUUGAAAAGUUUUAAUUGUUUUGAAAUUUUGGAUGUUACAAGUUGGUAUCAGAGCCUUGGUUUGAGUGAAUUGGGGAAACAUUCGUGUGACUCCAGUCUCAAAUCGAGGAGGAUUUUAAAAAGAGAAAUUAAAAUGGUUUUCAAAUUUAGUAAAAGGAGGACGCGGAGGUACGAUCAGCCGGAGCCAGUAAGUAACCCCAAGAUACCAUACAUGAUAUUUGUUUAUUUGAGCUUGAUAGAACAGCAUGCUAGAGUUAGGCUAGGGAUCUUCAGGAAUUCAUGAUAAUGUUGCCUGAUAUGUGAUGCCUGUAGCCUAGGGUCCCCUAUGGGAUGUUCUCAGUGUUCCUCUAGUGGUGAGGGUUGAUAGUUGUUAUGCAUGUUCCCUAGGGUAUUGUGGUAGUACUUCAUACAAAUAUGGGUAGGUGUGGAAGGUAGUAUGGGCCCGUACUACUGAAAGCACAGGACCCAUACGCGUAUCAGGGAAACCAUGGUCUCUAGGGUAGGGUUGCGAGAGUUGGAUCCCAGGAUUUUGGGAAGUGUCUGAGAUUGGUAGGGUGUCUUCAGUAUGGAGAUUUCGAGGCAUGAUGAUAGUGGAUCCGGAUCAGGAUCGGGAGCUGGAGAGCGAGUUCCGGGUGGAUCGGUGCCGUCGGAGGUUAUCGAUCGGACGAGCACGAGCGAGCGGGAUGCGAGGAUUCGCGAGAUCCUGCGUGAUGAGGUUGCUGCAUUGUUGCGGGCUGAGUCGCCAGAAUUGUUUGGGUCGAUCAGGACCGCUAUGAUUGAGUAGUUUGAUGAGCGAUAUGCGGCUCUCGCAGAGACGGCUGCCGCGGCAGUUACAGCGGCUGUAGCAACGGCAAAGAGAGGAGCUAGUCGGGGUUUUCAGUAUCGGGACUUCUAUUAUACGAAGCCUCCCACAUUCGAUGGAGUUCAGGACCCGAUUGCUGCUAUGAGAUGGUUAUCAGACGUGGAGGGGUGUUUCUCCACGAGUUUAUGCCCUGCUGAUCAGAGGGUGAGGUGUGCUCUGAACCUAUUGAGGCUAGGAGCGAAGGAUUGGUGGAGAUUGACUACGAGGUCAUUUUCCGAUGCGCAGAGGGCUGCGGUUUCAUGGGAUCAAUUCAGAGAGAUGUUCAGUACUCGCUAUGUUCCGCGGGAUGAAAAGGAGAAAUUGGCUCGGAAGUUCCUUAAGCUGAAGCAGGAUUUGGAGUCGGUGACUGAGAGCACCGGGAUGUUUAUUGAGAGGGCGAUGUUUUGCCCUGAGUUCGCUUCGGAGCAGGCUCAGAUGUCCCGAUAUCUGAGUAUGCUCAAGGGGGAUAUCAGACAGUUCGUGUCUGCGCAGAGGUGCGAGACCUUGUUGGAGUUGCAGGAGGCCGCCAUGCGGCGUGAGUUAGAGGUUGAGUUGCAGUUGCGUGAGCUGAGGCAGGCUCCGAUGCAGUCGCAGCCGGCGCCGAAACGGUCCAGGACCGUUGAUGUUAGAGUGGGGGAUCGGAGCGGCCACACUUGUGGGAAGUGUGGGAGGGGUCACACCGGAGUUUGUUGGUCCGGUGGUGCAUGCCGCAAGUGCGGAAAGGAGGGGCACUAUGCGCGGGAUUGUCGGCAGUCAGUGCCGAUUCGGGAUUUGAGGAUUUGUUAUCAUUGUCGGCAGGUUGGACAUUUGAGGGUCAACUGUCCACAGCUUUCUGCAGGACCGGUGCAGGCUCUAGCACCGGCCACCUUGAGGAGUUCAGGAGGAGGACAGGAUGGAGCGGAGCCCCAAGGGCUCAGGGUCGUGCUUAUCGGCUUGCGGCAGAGGGAGACGGAGCAGUGCCGGAGGCAGCUGCGGGUAUGAUGCUUUCUUGAUGUCUUGAUUGUCUUGCAUUGAUUGUGGCGUAUUGUUUGUGCUGGUAUCUUGUGUGGAUUUCGAUGCGGUAUUCGUUGUUUCGCGGGUUUGGCAUGGUUAUGGAUUGGUGCUUCAGGUUUUCGCUUUGGCAUUCGUUGUUCCCUGAUGGUUUGGUAUGGUUAUAGUUUGGUGUUUUGGUGCCGGUAGCCUUGUGCGGUUUUCGAUGCGGUAUUCAUCCUUUUGCAGGUUGUGGGUUUGGUUAUGGGUUAUUGUUUGGGAAUUCCGUUGGUUAUCGUUCGUGAGGGUUGAUAGUGGAGAUGCGGCACUGGGUUGAAUGUCGGGUAGCAUCUGCAGUCGUGGAGUGGAUAAUUGAAAGACCGGAUUCUUUUGAGCGGAUUGAUCAGGGAGGAGAUGUGUUUUGCUGAGGGUUGCUUAUGCUUGUGGGAAGCAGUCAGUGUGUAAAUGUUCUCUUUGUGCAGGAUUGUUCUGAAAGGUCGUUAAUGACGAUCGGUGGCAGUUAGUCAGUGCUUUAGUGGGGGAGAAUUGGAGAAUUCUCCGGGAGAUCGAUGAGUAUGUGAGGGUGCUUAGCUGUUGGGAUUCAGCAGUGUUUGUCAGCUCAGAGUAUAGGCCGACGAGAGCGAGUGUCGGGUAUGCGGGGCGGGAUACAGACCUAGGGCAUUUGAUUGUGGAGGCCUGAGAGAAGGCCGGGAUCAAGCUUGAGUAAGUAACCGGGGUUAUGCGAUCAGAGUAUUGGUAUGUUUGAGGUACGUGAUGGGUUGUACUGCAUUAAUCCCACGGGAUUAUGUUGUGCAUGUUUCUAGAGCUGGAACCGGAAGGUUCCCAGAGUUAGAACCUGAGGGUUCGCAGAGUUUGGGUGUACGGACCCACAGAGAUAUAGCCUCGAGUGGCUAGUAUGUGUUAUGAGAGUCGGUCCAGUCAUGCUGGAGACUCUGUUGGUAUUGCUGGAUCAGUUUGAGAUUGCGGAUCGUGUAUGUUGCAGUGUGAUUGCAUUGGAAGGUCUGGCCCCGGGUUAGUGAUCUUGUUUAGCUGAGGCAGUGAUUUUGAUGAGUGGAGAGAGUGCAUGGGAUUGAGAGCCCCUGCAAUGAGAACCAGAGUAUGUGAAUAGCGGUUACGCAAAAAGGGUGGUGUCGCUUGGGGCAAGCACCGUAGCACCGGUUGGAGUGGCAUUAUGGCCAAGAGGGUCCCUUGGAAGGAAAAGAGAAAGGUGUGUAACUCCGAAGGGGAGUGCAAGUUCACGAGAAUGAAAGCUGCAGAGCAGAGUUAUGGUUAGAGUAUUUCGAGUAUGCCUUCGAGCAUCGUGUUCGCGGCAGCGAAGUAGGAACCCAUCCGGUUUGGGAUGUCUGUUGAGGCUCAGAAGGGAUGCAGGGAGAGAGAGAAUCUUAAAUUCUCAGUGUGAUUCUGAUCAGAGUGUAGGGUGGAUGUAGUGGUUCAUCUUGGGAGAUGUUCGAGGAUAUCAUCAGUGUAUCGGGUCUUUCAACCUGCGGGUGUUGGGACUAGUUCAGUAUGUGUAUGUGAUGGCAAGAGGAGAACUUGUGAGAGUUGCUCUGAGAGUGAGAAUGGAUCUCUCAGUCGGUCCGGAAUGGACAAAGUGGGCUUUGGAUCGGGGAUCCGGUGGUUCAUGGUUUCCUAACCCUUAUGGGUCGAGUGAUCGUUGAGAUUUAGAGCAGAGUUGCAUCUUGGGUAAUUUUCGGUUACAGAGAGUGAUGUGCAGUACAGAGAUCGUGCUUCAGUCGACAGAGCAGAUUCGACAGAGCCGACAGGGAAAGUUAUGCAGACAGACGCCGGUCCGAGCUUGAGUUUCAGGUCGGCAACCUCGUACUCCUGAAGGCCUCUCCUUGGAAAGGAGUGAUUCGCUUCAGGAAGAGAGGCAAGUUGGGGCCCCGGUACAUUGGGCCAUUUCGGGUGAUUGCAAGGAUAGGCCGGGUAGCCUAUCGAUUGGAGUUGCCAGCGGAGUUGGGACAGAUCCACGACACCUUUCAUGUGUCGCAAUUGAGGAAGUGCUUAGCCGAUGAGUCGGCAGUGGUUCCAUUAGAGGAUAUUCAGGUGGAUGCGAGCCUGAAUUAUGCUGAGAGACCAGUGGCCAUCAGGGAUCGGAAGAUCAAGGUUCUGAGGAACAAGGAGGUACCUCUGGUGUUGGUUCAGUGGCAACACCGGAAGGGAUCGGAAAUGACUUGGGAGCCGGAACGUGAGAUGCGGGAGCAGCAUCCGGAACUAUUUUCAGAGUGAGACUUCGAGGGCGAAGUCUAAUCCUAGUGGGGGAGAAUUGUAACAGCCCGGAAUUUCAGGUAUUGUAAUAAUUAUGUUUCUGGGGUGUUUUAAGAGGGGACUCGGCGAGUUGGAGCUUAGACUCGCCGAGUAGGAUCGCAGACUUGGUCGCGGGUUCGCGACUGGACUCGACGAGUCCAGAUAUGGACUCGGCGAGUCUGCGCUGUUUAGCGAAAACCCUAACCGUUCAGGUUUGGGACGUAUAAAAGGGACUUAUUGGCCGUCAUUGUUCAUUUUAGCCUUCUGAGAAGAACCCUAAAUCGAUUGUGUGCAUCUGGAGCAAGGAUUAUAGGCCAUUGUUGAUUAUAGAAGAGUGGUUGUGCAAGGAAGAGAAGGGAUUGGCUAAAGGAGCAGCAAGGGAGUCACAUUCUGAGGAUUGGGGACACAGAGAAUACAUCAUCCAGGUAAGAAUUCGAGUAUACUCUGCUAUGUUGAUGUGUUUAUGGAAUUAGGGUUUAUGGAACCCUUUUGUGAUUAGAUUGAAUGCUACCCUAGUCCCCCAAACGAUUGUGACUCUGUAUUGGGACCUUUGGAGGUCCAGAAUGUCCCAUGCCUGUGCAUUUCGGGAAUUGAUGAAGGUUUUGGAUUGGAAUCCUUAUGCCUUAGGUCAAUAUGUAAAUUAUAAGUCUUGGGGUGUAUCAUGAGCACCGAAAUGAGGACCUUACGUGAUGGAUCAGUCUAGGAAGGCCAGACCUAUGAAUGGUCGGAGCAGUUCUGACCUUAGGAAGCAGUUUGAGCGGUUGCAUGGCAUGGACUCGCCGAGUCCGAUGAACAGACUCGGCGAGUAGCUUGAAGAUUAACUGGGACUCGUCGAGUUGUUCUUCAGACUCGGCGAGUUGAGUCGGGGUGGCCCCGCGAUUCUUCCAGGAGGAACUCGUCGAGUAAAAAGGGGAUACUCGACGUGUAGAAAGGGAGUCUUAAGGAAUCGGUGAGUUAAGGGCGAGUGGACUCAGAGUCGUUGAACUCGGCGAGUCUUGGGGUGACUCGGCGAGUUAGAUCGCGGGUUGAGUGAAGUUCUGAGUAUGGGGACUCGGCGAGUCAUAGGGUUGACUCGGCGAGUAGGGUCAGUCAGGGGUUGACUUUGACCUUGUCUUUGACCAAGGAUUUACCAGUGGUUCCAGGGGUAUUUUGGUAAUUGUUGUUUAUUGUUUGAGUUCAGUGCAUUG